CGGAGGGCGUAGCGUUGUUCGGAAUUACUGGGCGUAAAGCGCGCGUAGGCGGCUUUGUAAGUUAGAGGUGAAAGACCCGGAGCUCAACUCCGGAACUGCCUUUAAGACUGCAUCGCUAGAAUUGUGGAGAGGUAAGUGGAAUUCCGAGUGUAGAGGUGAAAUUCGUAGAUAUUCGGAAGAACACCAGUGGCGAAGGCGACUUACUGGACACAUAUUGACGCUGAGGUGCGAAAAGCGUGGGGAGCAAACAGGAUU
rnacentral:rRNA from 1 species